rnacentral:piRNA from 1 species
AUAAUUUUAUGUUCAACUGUAGGCA